GGGCGCUUGGCCUAGUGGUAUGGCGUAUGCUUUGCACUCUAAUGUGUACAUGACCACUGGUUCAUGGAAAUUGUAUAAGAUCACGAGUUCGAUCCUCGUAGCGUCCA